AUGGGGGACAGUGUGUGAUGAUAGCUUCAGUCCAAACGAUGCAAGAGUGGCUUGUCGUCAACUAGGAUUCUCAACCUAAACUCGAUACGGACCAGUUGGAACGCUAGGUUUCUCCCAACCUUCAUCAACCACUCGGAUAUGGUUGGACCAACUUUGUUGCUCAGGAACUGAGAGCAGACUCAUUAAUUGUCCUGCUAACACUAUCGGAGUGGAAGAUUGCACUCAUUCAGAAGAUGUAGCCCUGGUGUGUGGUGCAGCUACUUCCCCUUCUUCCCCUUCUUCCCCGUCCUCAACUCCAACUACAUCCUCCAACAUAACAUCGAUCAGCACAGGAGUGACUAUUCCUAUUAUCAUUGUUGUUGUGAUCCUUUUUAUUUUCCUGUUCUGUGUUUUCACAAACCGGAGGAGACGCCAUGUUGGUCGCCCAGCAACCAGAGCUCCUGUAGUCGCUAAUGUUAGAUCAACAACUGUUAUCAUCGCCAAGUCAACCGCACCAGCAGCAAAAGCACAAGAUAUGGCCUACCCUAUGCAAUCCAAACCCCAAUAUUUAAAUCAGCCCCCCCCUCAGAAUAUGUAUCCGCCUCAAUCAGCAGCCCCCUACACCACUGGACAGCAACCCCCAGCCCCCUACCCUACUGGACAGCAACCCGCUGCUCUGUACCCUGCUCUGUACCCUGCGUACCCCACUGGACAACCACCCCCUGCUCCGUCCUUGUCUGCAUGGGGAGGAGCCCCUCCAGCAUAUCCAGGAUGAUUAUGGGGACCUACUAGGCAUGCAGUAUAUACAUGUAUUUUAACUGAAAGUAGUGAACUUUUAAUAAGAGACAUUGCAAAUUGCAAUUGACUGUAUAUAGCUGCAUGUUAGUGAUAACAAACUUCUAUUAUUUUUUUAAGUUUAGACAAUGAGAAUUUUGUUUCUCAUUUUUUAACAAUUAUUUUCAAAAGUAAACUCUUCGGCUGAUUUUUUACAAUUUAAUGAAUGUAUAUACAGCGCGUAUUAUGGUUUUAGCCAAUAAACGAUCGAUUUCACACAAUUUAAAUGACAUUACCAUCGUAAUAAUACAAAAUAUCUACUGUUCAC